rnacentral:rRNA from 1 species
CCUACGGGCGGCUGCAGUGAGGAAUAUUGGUCAAUGGUCGGGAGACUGAACCAGCCAAGCCGCGUGAGGGAUGAAGGUACAGAGUAUCGUAAACCUCUUUUGUCAGGGAACAAAGGCGGGGACGUGUCCCCGGCUGAGUGUACCUUACGAAAAAGCAUCGGCUAACUCCGUGCCAGCAGCCGCGGUAAAACGGAGGAUGCGAGCGUUAUCCGGAUUUAUUGGGUUUAAAGGGUGCGCCGGGGUUCUGUUAAGUCAGCGGUAAAAGCCCGGGGCCUAACCCCGGCCCGCCGUUGAAACUGGCAGUCUCGAGUUGGAGAGAAGUAUGCGGAAUGCGCGGUGUAGCGGUGAAAUGCAUAGAUAUCGCGCAGAACUCCGAUUGCGAAGGCAGCAUGCCGGCUCCACACUGACGCUGAGGCACGAAAGCGUGGGUAUCGAACAGGAUUAGAUACCCGGGUAGUC